UGGGGAAUAUUGGACAAUGGGCGAAAGCCUGAUCCAGCCAUGCCGCGUGAGUGAUGAAGGCCCUAGGGUUGUAAAGCUCUUCACCGGUGAAGAUAAUGACGGUAACCGGAGAAGAAGCCCCGGCUAACUUCGUGCCAGCAGCCGCGGUAAUACGUAGGGUGCAAGCGUUGUCCGGAAUUAUUGGGCGUAAAGAGCUCGUAGGCGGUCUGUCGCGUCGGCUGUGAAAACUCGGGGCUCAACUCCGAGCUUGCAGUCGAUACGGGCAGGCUAGAGUUCGGCAGGGGAGACUGGAAUUCCUGGUGUAGCGGUGAAAUGCGCAGAUAUCAGGAGGAACACCGGUGGCGAAGGCGGGUCUCUGGGCCGAUACUGACGCUGAGGAGCGAAAGCGUGGGGAGCGAACAGGAUUAGAUACC
rnacentral:rRNA from 1 species